rnacentral:rRNA from 1 species
GACGAACGCUGGCGGCGUGCUUAACACAUGCAAGUCGAACGGAAAGGCCCUGCUUGCGGGGUGCUCGAGUGGCGAACGGGUGAGUAACACGUGGGUGAUCUGCCCCUUACUUUGGGAUAAGCCUGGUAAACUGGGUCUAAUACUGGAUAGGACCAUGCUUUAGGUGGUGUGGUGGAAAGAUUAGUUUCGGUAAGGGAUGAGCUCGCGGCCUAUCAGCUUGUUGGUGGGGUAAUGGCCUACCAAGGCGUCGACGGGUAGCCGGCCUGAGAGGGUGGACGGCCACAUUGGGACUGAGAUACGGCGCAGACUCCUACGGGAGGCAGCAGUGGGGAAUAGUGCACAAUGGGCGCAAGCCUGAUGCAGCGACGCCGCGUGGGGGAUGACGGCCUUCGGGUUGUAAACUCCUUUCAGCCAUGACGAAGCCCUUGUGGUGACGGUAGUGGUAGAAGAAGCACCGGCUAACUACGUG